rnacentral:lncRNA from 1 species
CUUUUUAGGGCCACACCCACGGCAUAUAGAGGUUCCCAAUUCCCAGGCUAGGGGUCAAAUCAGAGGUACAGAUGCCAGCCUACACCACAGCCACAGCAACAUGGGAUCUGAGCCGCACCACAGCUUACGGCCAUGCAGGAACCCCAGCCCACUGAGCGAGGCCAGGGAACAAACCUGUGUCCUCAGGGAUCCUGGUCGGGUUGGUUAACCACUGAGCCACGACGGGAACUCCAGGACUCACAGAUUUUAUAAACGUAGGCUACCAUUUCGUCUAUGCAGCGCUCAAAGUAGCCACAGGUGAGUUUGCAGCCUUGUUGCAUCAGUGGUUCCAUGAGAGCAAAACAUUAUCACUUACAUUGUAUGUUUCCAUAACCUAUCUGCUGGUAAGGAGAGCUGCCAGGGCACCAGGGGCUUUAGCAAGAGACCCGGGGAUGGUAUGUGACCAGCAUCCCUUGGAGCCAUAUUCACUGGUCCAUGCACACACAAAUUCACUCACUGGAGAAGCACUCAGAAAAAAUGGAUGCCAGGAACUAAGGAAACAGAUAAAAGACAUGGGUCGCUGCCAAGAAGUUGCUUGGGUUACUGAUGGCAUUUCCCAGUGCCCUGUGGUGCUCUUGGCUAUGCCAACACUGGAGUUUUAGAUUUUUCCUCCAGGUUAUUCCACUUAGAAAAGGAGCCCUCACUGCUGUUCACUGAGGUCACUAUUCAGGUAUUAGGUGUGAGCCCAGCUCCUGUGACAGCACCUGAGUCACAACAGCAGCCUUAAAUCUUUUUGUUUCCUUUUUAUGGCGGUACCCGAGGCAUAUAGACGUUCCCUGGCUAGGGGUCAAAACGGAGCUGCAGCUGCCAGGCUACACCACAGCCACAGCAACUCAGGAUCCGAGCCACAUCUGCAACCUAUGCCACAGCCUGCAGCAACGCCAGAUCCUUAACCCACUGAGGAAAGCCGGGGACUGGAUCCGCAUCCUCAUGAAGACAAUGUUGGGUCCUUAAUCCACUGCGCCACCGUGGGAACUCCUGCAGCCUUAAAUCUUACUGGCAAAAAAAGAGAGCCAGAGCUCUGGCGGGGAGAAAGAAGGUAGCUGCAUCACUUCUGUAUCUUCGCUGGGACACUGAUGUCAAAAUGGGCUGGGACAUAAGGGACCCUGGGGCUUCGGUGGCAUUGUUGUUUACAGUGAAAAUCAGGUCUUAUCAGACACCCAGUUCCUCAGUCUCCCAAGCCACAUUCUAAGGGCUCCGUUGUCACCUGGGGGCUGGGGCUGCCACACUGGACAGCUCAGAUACAGAACCCUUCCAUCGCUGCAGAAACUUCCAAGGGACAACACUAGACAUCGAGCGGGUCUCCUAAAACAGUGGGAAGUUGGGAUUGCACGUGGUGCCAGUGGGCUUGGCUAGCAGAAAAGUGAAUUAUAAUUAAAUGCAAAAAGAUUUUUUUAAGUUCCAUUGGAACUUUCUAGCAUGUAAUUAAGCCACACGAUAAUGACAGAAACAAGGCUGCUCUUGGCUUUGGGUGUUGGGCGGACCAUCUGUUUUGAGUCUUGUCUGUAGGACACACAAGAUGUCGUGCCUCUGUAUUCAGCCACCAGACGGGCUGGGAUCACUGCCUGUGUAGACAUCAUCCAGCUGCAGGCUGACAGCAGAGGCUCUGCAAAGCAAAGUGCUGGCAAAGGGAAGCACAUUCAUUCCUGCACAUUGAACAAAUCCCGUCUGCCUGCUGCUGGAGCCCACAACAGGGCAGAGACGCUUCACAACAAGAGAGUCCUUUAUUCUUGCGACUGGACGCCUAAAGGUUUGCCCUUGACCCGAUCACACAGAGGGACAGAAUAGAGUCCUUCUGCAGUGGAUUUUUUUCUGUCUUUCUUUCAUUCUUCUUUUGUGUGUGUGUGUGAUUUAGGGCUGCACCCAAGGCACAUCACGGUUCCCAGGCUAGGGGUUGAAUCGGAGCUGUGGCUGCUGGCCUACACCACAGCCACAACAAGGCAGGAUCCGAGCCUCGACUGCAACCUACACCACAGCUCAUGGCAACACCGGAUCUUUAACCCAUGGAGCGAGGCCAUGGAUCAAACCUUCAUCCCCAUGGAUGCCAGUCAGAUUCUUCCCGCUGAGUCACGCCGGGAACUCGCUGCAGUGGAUUUUGUUAAAUGCAUCUCGCCUUGCUCACCUGGACACAGUUCUCUAUAUUCCACCGCCUUUGCUUGCUCACAUCCAAAUCAACCCGCUCCACGCUCCUCUUGAUCUUAAAAUACAAGACAGAGGUACAUGGGUGCAGUAUUUCUUGAGUUGCAUGGCUAAAGGAGACCCACAAGAUGUCAGAUUGGGAGCUGGGGCUAAAUGAGAGUGGUCAGUGGUAGUUUAUGUCUUCUGCCCCCCCCCCCCCCCGUGGAGGGAUUCAUUACCAGUUGGAGCCAAAGAAGGAAAGAGAAAGAGAAAAAAAGCAUGAAUUAUUUCCUAUCUAUUCAGUCCUUCCCACAAUCAUCUGGGGUUUGCUGGUUCCACGAGACUGCCAGCUCCCCUGGAGGGGGGCUGAAGCCCAGUAAUUCCCUUGGAGCCUGUUCUGUCCUGGGAAUGGCUGGAACGGCGCAGUCGCAGAGGGUUGGCUUAAUUUUGAACGACAGGGGCCCUCACUCUGGGUGCAAAAAAAAAAAGAGUGAUGAGCUUUGCUGCCCAGGCAGGUCUGGAGCCCUUCCCUUGGCAGUGGCUAAUCCUCAUGAUUCAGAGGAAGCACUGUCGAUUCUUUAAAGUGGACCUCGCCAAUUGUGUCAUGUUUAUUCUGAGGCAUUGGAAGAAGCCAAAAAAAGAAGGGAGGGUUGGGGAGAAAUUCCUUCCUUUGCACCGAUCAGCUUACAUCCUGCUCCACCAGGAGUGAUUGCCCUUAUCUUUUCUUGCAUAACUACAAGUGUUAUGACUGCACAGAAGUGACCAGACUUCCCCCGCCGCGCCCCCACCCCCCAAAAAAUCCGGCCACAGUGUUUGACUCUAUGACUGCCUGUGGCGGUGAAUUCCUUAGCCUGGCCACACGCGGUGGGAAAAGCUUUGUCCUUUGACUUAUUCAUGGACCAGUCCUUCAUGCCAUUAGAUGUCCCCUUGUUCUUAGGGGAGCGGAUGGGGAAAAAGAAAAAUCUGUUCCUUUUGCAUCAGCCCGUUCAUUUAGGCAGACGUCACUGAAUGUAAAUACCCUUCAAUGUCUUUUUCUCAUAUUGCACAGGCCAUUUAAAAAAUUCCUUUUUAAAAAUUAGCUCAUUGGACUUCCCAUUGUGACUUGGCGGAAAGGAACCCAACUAGUAUCCGUGAGGAUGCGAGUUUGAUCCCUGGCCCGGCUCAGUGGGUUAAGGAUCCGGCAUUGCCAUGAGCUGCAGUGUCAGUUGGACCCAGAGUUUCUGUGGCUGUGGUGUAGGCUGGCAGCUGCAGCUCCGAUGGGACACCUAGCCCGGACUUCCAUAGGCCACACCUGUGGCCCUUAAAAAAACACACAAAACACAUAGCUUAUAAAAAAUUAAAUACAUUUUACCAAUUAAAAUUCAGGCACUACAAUGCAUAGAAAGAGUAAGUAUCUCUCCCACGGUAGAUGCUUAUCUCCCCAGUCCCUACCUCCAAGCCAGCCACUAUUACCAGCCACUAGUGUAAACUCCUGGCAUAUUCAAGCCCACGUGUGUGUGUGCAUUUCCUCCUUUUAAAAUACAUUUUCAUAUAGCAAUGUGUUUUGGAGAUCAUUCCAUUUGGUCAUAAAUAGUACUGUGUCACCCUUUUUCGUGGCUGUGUAGUAUUCUUGUUAGAAUACAUAAUGAUUUCUUUAACCAGGUCCAUACGGAUAGAUACUUAUGUUUCCAGCAGUUUACUCAUAUAGGAGAAACUCCAACAAAGAGCUUUGUAUACAUGUCUUCAUAUACAAAUACAAGUAUGUACAUUUAAAAUGCUGAUAGGAGUUCCUGUCAUGGCUCAGAGGAAACGAAUCUGACUAGAAACCAUGAGGUGGCGGGUUCAGUCCCUGGCCUCGAGCAGUGGGUUAAGGACCCAGCAUUGCUGUGAGCAGUCACAGAGGUCGCAGACGAGGCUCAGAUCCCGUGUUGCUGUGGCUCUGGCGUAGGGCAGCAGCAACAGCUCCUAUUGGACCUCUAGCCUGGGAAACUCCAUAUGCCACGGUGCGGCACUAAAAAGACAGAAGAAAGACAAAAAAAUACAAUACAAUAAAAUAAAAUACAAUGCUGAUAGAUAUUUCCAGACUGCCUUCCAAAGAAAUGACAUCAAUUUAUACCGUCAUCAAUUAUAUAAAGAAUCCUUUCCCUCCACUUCUUGCCGACGCAGCCCACUCACAGUCUUCCCCUGAAUGACAAUACUACCUAAAAACCACACAAAGUGUAGGGCCCUCCUGAGACACGUUGGGUCCUGACACUGAGCCUCUACCCCGUCUCUUGUAAAAUCAGUGCCACCUGCACAAGCCCUAAUACCUAACAGAGCAAAGCAGACAGGAGAAAACAAGACCAAACCAACGAGCGCCGCCUAGAGGCGGUUUUCAGUACUGCAGUUUGUACCGGUAAUUGUGGGGGGACUUUUGGGGGGUGGGGGUAACUAAACGAAUCCACAGUUUUCAUUGGAUUCUCAACAUGGACGUUGACCUCUGCCAAAAAAGCUAAGCGUCUGUGACUUAGGUAAUUUUUAAAAAGCGAGAAAAAAAUUAAAUGUAUAUAAAAAUCCAAGUGCCUGAGGUCAUGGCUUAAUAUAAACUAAAUAACACCGUAAAUUUAAGCUUUGAAUACAUUAAAAAAAACGAAAUCAUGCCAGAGCAAUGAUUCUCAAAUUUUGGACUCGAACAUUUUCUAAAAUAAACUUUGUGGCCCAAUGUGGUUUUGCCAAAGUUCUACUAUAUCAAGCAGAAAUGUCCACCACCACCACCGCAACAAACUGGGCUUAUGACAUGAGGUUCUUUCAUCGUGUCAUGAGACCAUUCUAACACUAAAUCGUGGGAAAGAUACGAUCUUAGAGUAAAAGGCAGUCCCUCGAGUGGAAUAAAUUUUACUCUGUUUAAAACCCCUGCAUUGCCCCUCGUUUUCUCACCUCACCAUCAGCCCAAGCGUCUGGAUGACACAGGCAGGGAAACAGUGUCAUCGCUGUCUGUGGACCGGCCCUUGGAAACUACCGCCAUCAGGGACCUGCUCUUACAGUCACAAAAGUCGAGGUGCCUUGUCACCCUCUUGGUUUUGGUCUGUAGAGCAGAACCACAGAGAGGACAAAGCACCAGGUUCGGCGUCCUGGAUUUGCCCGUAAUUAACUUUCAUUAAGUUACUUCAUGUGGCUUUGAACUUCAGUUCUGAAGUCCAAUGAGAGGAGUAACACCUUUUCUGCCUACCUCACGGGUCUGACACUUUCAAAUAAAUAAGUAUUGUGCAAAAUUUUUUGUAAACACUAAUGCCUGAUACAAUUUUCAAGUCACAUGCAAAGUUUAUUCAGCUAGAGACAGAGGAGUGAGGACAGAACUCAGCCCAAGACCUCUGGCUCUAAAUCCUUAUUCUUAAUCAGGCUGCACCCUCAGCAUCUGGAAGUUCGCAGGCUAGGGGUCAAAUCAGAGCUAGAGCUGCUGGCCUACGGCACAGCAAUGCAGGAGUCAAGCCAAGUCUGCAACCUGCACCACAGUUCAUGGCAAUGCCAGAUCCCCGACCCACUGAGCAAGGCCAGGAAUUGAACCCGAAUCCUCAUGA